GGGCCCAUAGCUCAAUGGUCAGAGCAGGGGACUCAUAAUCCCUUGGUUGCAGGUUCGAAUCCUGCUGGGCCCACCA
rnacentral:tRNA from 1 species